rnacentral:misc_RNA from 1 species
GUCAAAUUUGGCUUCUCGAUUGCUCCAAUCUCUAGCUCCGGUAGAAGAUUCUUCUGCUUAUUAUUUAUUUUUCUUCUUCUAUCUUUCUUUUUUCUUCUCUCUCUCUCUUCUUGCUUUUUUGCUACUUUUUGAAGCCAUGAUUUGGCUAGUUUCUGUUUCUUCUUGAAGACAUGAUCUUGCUCUGCUUCUUUUUUUAUUUUGUUGAUCCUCUGUGGUGCUUCUUGUUCCCUUUGCCAUUGACUAACUUUAUUCUCUGCUUUUUUUUUUGCAAUGCAAUUUUUUGAUCUGAUUUAACAAUAUUAUAAUAAAAUAUCUAAUGGCACUAUAUAUAUGUACAUAAGUACGUAUUCAAACCCCAACUUUCCUAAUUAGGUAUCUAACUCUCAAAAGCUUAAAUCAAGAAAAAAAAUUAAUUAUAAAUAGAAUUCAAUUUAAA